rnacentral:rRNA from 1 species
UAGGGAAUCUUCGGCAAUGGGGGGAACCCUGACCGAGCAACGCCGCGUGAGUGAAGAAGGUUUUCGGAUCGUAAAGCUCUGUUGUUAAGGAAGAACGAGUGUGAGAAUGGAAAGUUCAUGCUGUGACGGUACUUAACCAGAAAGGGACGGCUAACUACGUGCCAGCAGCCGCGGUAAUACGUAGGUCCCGAGCGUUGUCCGGAUUUAUUGGGCGUAAAGCGAGCGCAGGCGGUUAGAUAAGUCUGAAGUUAAAGGCAGUGGCUCAACCAUUGUAGGCUUUGGAAACUGUUUAACUUGAGUGCAGAAGGGGAGAGGGGAAUUCCAUGUGUAGCGGUGAAAUGCGUAGAUAUAUGGAGGAACACCGGUGGCGAAAGCGGCUCUCUGGUCUGUAACUGACGCUGAGGCUCGAAAGCGUGGGGAGCGAACAGG